UCCAUACAUUGUUUCACUAGUGGAAGGCUCUACCUCCAAUUGAGCUCUCUCCGUUCCUACUUCUGAGUUUCUUUUCUCUAUGUCCACGCACUUUAUACCCAUUUAAGUCUCAUAAAAAAUAAUGUCCCUAUUUAUUAUGAAUACUGAUGUUUCAUGUUUCAUCUUUCCCUUUACAUUUUCCAGGUAUUCAAUUAAGACACAUUUUAGAGCUUUGGUAUCAAGCUUCUCUAGCUUAAUAUGCUCAAAAGCGAAUGUUCUAAAAAAACCUUCAAGUU
rnacentral:lncRNA from 1 species